AUGGAUCAAGCAAUUCUUCUCCUUAUUUUAUUAAAAUGUUUAUUUAAGGGUUCAGAGAGUCUAGACUGUGACCAAGUGAAGAAGCCCACUAGAGCAGUCUCGAUGGAGUGGACUGAAUUGCUCAAAGGAGAAGAUCCGGACUAUUACACUGUUACAUACCAGCACACAGAUGCUCUCAGUCAAAAAAAUGUAAGAAACAUUUCUAAAGUUGAACAGAAACCCGUCAGUACUACAAUUCUGCUUGAGGAAAAUAAGAAGUACGAUAUUACAAUAGAAUCCCUAAAAAAUGGCCGAGUCUUAAGUGUAAAAUCAUUUCAGACACGUAAGUAGAGUACCACAAAAAUGUUUUGGUAUCGUUAUAGUUAGUCUAAUACUGAAGACUAAAGAAGUAGGUGUUGAAAUCCUGAGCUUAGUCGUGUAUUUAGAAACUUUGCAUCUAUGUAUGUUUUCAGCCAUGAAGAGUAGAAGGAACAGAUUUAUAUAACUCCUUUGGUUAGUGUAACAGUUCUGCUGCAUGGGACUGGUAUAGAAGCUUGGAAGAUUUUUAAGUGUUACAGUCUUUGCUAUACUAUAGUAGUUCUAGGAGAAGAGAUUUAUAAAAGAGGACCAUGGAGAAAGUUACUUAAAGCCUUCCAAUUUCCUAUCAAUG
rnacentral:lncRNA from 1 species